CAACCCUUAAGCUUAGUUGCCAUCAUUAAGUUGGGCACUCUAAGUUGACUGCCGGUGACAAACCGGAGGAAGGUGGGGAUGACGUCAAAUCAUCAUGCCCCUUAUGAUUUGGGCUACACACGUGCUACAAUGGACAAUACAAAGGGCAGCGAAACCGCGAGGUCAAGCAAAUCCCAUAAAGUUGUUCUCAGUUCGGAUUGUAGUCUGCAACUCGACUACAUGAAGCUGGAAUCGCUAGUAAUCGUAGAUCAGCAUGCUACGGUGAAUACGUUCCCGGGUCUUGUACACACCGCCCGUCACACCACGAGAGUUUGUAACACCCGAAGCCGGUGGAGUAACCUUUUAGGAGCUAGCCGUCGAAGGUGGGACAAAUGAUUGGGGUGAAGUCGUAACAAGGUAGCCGUAUCGGAAGGUGCGGCUGGAUCACCUCCUUU
rnacentral:rRNA from 1 species